GCCUCGGUAGCUUAGCGGCAAAGCGCCUGCCUCGUAAGCAAACCUAUCGUCGAGAUAGCAGGAGAUCGUGGGUUCAAUCCCCACCCGAGGCU
rnacentral:tRNA from 1 species